UGCGGGUUGAAUGCAAUUCUCGUUUCAGUAGUUGGGGACUGAACUUUGGGAUUACUUCUAAUGCUCAGGAAAAGAUCAGAACAGCCUGAAGAGGAACAAGAGACAUGGCUCUCCUGGAAUGUAUAAUUUUUGCUUCCUUCUGUGCUGUAAUCCUGGGAACACCAAUGUCUUUAUUAGCUCCAUCUGGAGGUUUAAGGGCAUCACAUAAUGAAAGACAAUUUCUAAAUACCUUAAAUCUCUCUGCUUCAGGAAGCUCUACCUCAUAUUGCUCUGCUUGGAACCCUGUUUCCUGGACACUGCUGGCAGUAGCCAUCAUAGCUUUUCUUGCUUUCAUUG